CCAGACUCCUACGGGAGGCAGCAGUGAGGAAUAUUGGUCAAUGGCCGAGAGGCUGAACCAGCCAAGUCGCGUGAGGGAAGACUGCCCUAUGGGUUGUAAACCUCUUUUGUCAGGGAGCAACGCCGGCUACGUGUAGCCGGACUGAGAGUACCUGAAGAAAAAGCAUCGGCUAACUCCGUGCCAGCAGCCGCGGUAAUACGGAGGAUGCGAGCGUUAUCCGGAUUUAUUGGGUUUAAAGGGUGCGCAGGCGGAGGUGCAAGUCAGCGGUCAAAUUGCGGGGCUCAACCCCGUACUGCCGUUGAAACUGCAUCCCUUGAGUGCGCGAGAAGUAUGCGGAAUGCGUGGUGUAGCGGUGAAAUGCGUAGAUAUCAGGAGGAACACCGGCGGCGAAGGCGGCUUACUGGACUGUAACUGACGUUGAGGCUCGAAGGCGUGGGGAGCAAACAGGAUUAGAUACCCCAGUAAC
rnacentral:rRNA from 1 species